CCAUGGGGGGCCAGUAUGAAAAUGUAUGCACUCACUAACUGAAGAGCUCAUGACGUCUGGCUGGAGUUUUGCAGCUGUGAGCUGGAACCUGUCACCCUGAUCCGCUACAGACUCUGGCCUGCCACCCCCCAUCUGCCGCAAACAGCAAUUUCAGUGGACCUCCUGCGCCAGUUUGCAGCCCUGCAGCUGGAGUGUGGGGUGUCUUUGAGGGGGAUUACCUUGGCUUUCCAUAAAUCCAAUGCAUGCUGGAAGACAGUUGAGCUCUACCGGAAGCUCACAAAUGAAUCAUUUGAGGAGUUCAAACACUGGCAGUUUAAACGAGAGACUGUCAGGAAGUUGCCGCCACUGACCUCGGACGGAACAAAGUGUCCUCUCUGUCCACAGGUAUGUCAAUGAUAACAAUUAAGGAACAACUAUAAAGUCUCAGUAAGCUAGAAUUCUUAUUUGCAUUCAGUGUUGUUCAUAAUUUAUAAGGGGAAAUAUAUCCAACCUCAGUUGUCUUUCUUAUAUAUAUUCUGUCAUUGCCUUGCCAAACAGUAGUAAUGUUAUGCAGCAAUACCAUUGCAAGCCUCUCAAAAUCCCAACCCUUCAUCCAAGUCGUGGGAGGCGGAAACAGGUAAAGUAUGGGAUUGCCAGACAGGGCAAAGUUUUGUGGGUGGCUACGGUUGCCAUGAAGGCCUGUCUGGAUCCACAACACGCUGGAUAACGGGGCUCUGGUAAAGCUAGGUGGACCAAUCAUCUGCUUAGUGGAUACUACCGAUUAAAGAUACAUUCACGAAGAAACUACAGUGUAAAUUACCUAUGUUUCCCAGAGAGCACAAGGGUUUAAGUAAUACCCUUGCAAAUUUCCAUUCCCUGUAUCCCUAAUAAUUUUGUAUAAUUAAUUAUUAGCAUUAUUAUUUUAAAGGAAAACGGUCAUCAAAUUAUUGCAGCUGAUGCCCUAUUUGGGCUUCCGAGAAAAAUAUCAUCUGGGACUAGCAUUGAGGGUCCCAAACAUGCUGGGCGGUUCUUUUGUGACCAAGACAAAGUUGACUGCUUUGUAGGAGGAGCAUCAGACACACCAACUGAGGUAUACUGAAUUUUGAAGAAUGGGAUGUAUCUCACAAUCAGUUAGUUUCUCUAGCCCUCUUCUGUGUGAUGUGUAUCUGUGUGUAUUACCAACAGCUGGGCUAAUGUUGGAGAAGUUUAAAGGUUUGAUUGAAAUCAGGAGAAGACAUUUAUCCUUGGUGUUGCGACUCUACCAUUGGACUAUUCUGUCUUUUUUUGUUUUUUUUUGUGAAGUUGAACAGAUUGGAUGAAACAUGAACUGUGAAUGUGACUUUUUUCACUUCAUUUUACAGGGGUGCCUGGGAUUUAGAGCCGGGGAUGCACUGCGAUCCAAAACCCAGAAACUGGACAUAACUGGUGUGUUUGGGAUGGCGUGCAGGCACGAGCAUCCGCUAAAGUUCCUGAACCUGAAGAGAGGAGAGAAGCUUGCAAAUCCUGUGUUCCUGCUGGGGGACCUGAAAGCAAUGCAAGGACCAAACAUCACAACGUUUCUUCACUAUGACAUUGCAUGCCAUUUGUAGUUGCACAGUUGCCCUAACAAUAUUAAGAAACAGCUAGUUGUAAUUUGUCCUAGUCCCUUAAUUAAUCAUCAUCACCCAUUGUAAUGCUCAUUCUGGUUUCUGAUUCUAAUAAAUUCAAA